rnacentral:lncRNA from 1 species
AGAUGCACUUAGGGGAAGGGCUGCAGGCGGGGCCUGAGUGAAUCCUUGGAGGUAGCAGGAUCCUAUGGAUCUAGAUGGGCCUGGCACGCCGCGGUCUGCCAGCAGGCGGAUCGUCGCGAGCUGGCGGGAGACUGGUUUGGGUGACGUUCAAUGAGAUUUGGCGGGUUCUGAGGGAGGGUGGACUUACAGGAAGGUAGGGAGAGGGAGUUAAGUGUUUAUAAUUAGUAAUUUGAAGUGUGUGUGUGUGUGCGCGCGCGCGUUGGUACUGAACUUAUAGGCAGUUGUGAGCUACCAUGAUGUGGGUGCUGAUAAUGGAGUUUACAUUCUCUGCAAGUUUUAUGUGUUUUUAACUGAUGAGCCAUUUCUGUAUUCCCCCCUCCUUACUCUUACAUUUGUUUUCCUAUUUUAUGUGUUUUGUCUGCAUGUUUAUGGACUACAUGCGUGCAUUGCCCACAAAGGCCAGAAGAAGUUGUGGGAUUCCCUGGAACUGGAGCAACCAACAGUUUGUGUGCACCAUGUGGGUAAUGGGAAUCGAACCUGGGUCCUCUAUAAGACUGGCCAGUGCUCUUAACUACUGAGGUAUCUAUAUAGUCCCUAUUUUUUUCUUUUAGAAACAUUUCUAUUCUUUGAGAGUUUCAUAGAUGUAUGCAAUAUAUUUUCAUCAUCUCCACUCCCUUUUCCCUCCAACUCCUCCUAGACUCCUCCUACCACAUUUUCCUCCAAUUUCAUAUUCUCUUUAAAACAAACAAACCAAAUCAAAACCAAAA